CCUACGGGGGGCAGCAGUGGGGAAUAUUGCACAAUGGAGGAAACUCUGAUGCAGCGAUGCCGCGUGAGGGAAGAAGGUUUUCGGAUUGUAAACCUCUGUCUUAAGGGACGAUAAUGACGGUACCUUAGGAGGAAGCUCCGGCUAACUACGUGCCAGCAGCCGCGGUAAUACGUAGGGAGCGAGCGUUGUCCGGAAUUACUGGGUGUAAAGGGAGUGUAGGCGGGAUGGUAAGUUAGGUGUGAAAUGCGGAGGCUCAACCUCCGAGCUGCACUUAAAACUGCUGUUCUUGAGUGAAGUAGAGGUUGGCGGAAUUCCCAGUGUAGCGGUGAAAUGCGUAGAUAUUGGGAGGAACAUCAGUGGCGAAGGCGGCCAACUGGGCUUUUACUGACGCUGAGGCUCGAAAGCGUGGGGAGCAAACAGGAUUAGAUACCC
rnacentral:rRNA from 1 species